GGUAUCUGACAUAUGUCGCCGGGUCACUAACACACUAAGAGCCCUAUACCGGCUUAAACAUUUCCUUCCGACUGGCACUAAAGUUCUCCUUGUUCAAGCUCUUGUAUUACCUAUUGUAGACUAUGCUGAUGUGUGUUACACGAAUAUCACAGAAGUCUCUCUGAGCAAACUAGAUCGGCUUCUUAAUAACAGCAUCAGAUUUAUUUUCGGACUCCGUAAAUAUGACCACAUAUCUGCAUAUCGCCGCCGACUUAACUGGCUCCCUAUUCGAGAACGGAGGUCCUUGCUCCUGUAGUCUCAAGCUUACUGUUCCUUCUCAUCGCACCGGUUUUGUCUCUAACUCCUUCACCCUUCACGCGAUCCGGCUUUGGAAUGAUCUCCCACUCAACAUCAGACAGGCUCCAACCAAGCUCUCGUUUAAGCGCAUGUUACGCAAGCAUUUUUUCGACAAG